rnacentral:rRNA from 1 species
CACGUAGGCACCAAGCGUUGUCCGGAUUUAUUGGGCGUAAAGGGCUCGUAGGCGGUUCGGUAAGUCGGGUGUGAAAACUCUGGGCUCAACCCAGAGCCGCCACCCGAUACUGCUGUGACUCGAGUGCGGUAGGGGAGCGGGGAAUUCCUGGUGUAGCGGUGAGAUGCGCAGAUAUCGGGAGGAACACCAGUGGCGAAGGCGGUUGCCUGGAGCUUUGCUGACGCUGAGGCGCGAAAGCGUGGGGAGCGAUCCGG